CCGCUGAAAGCAUCUAAGCGGGAAGCCUGUUUUAAGAUGAGGUUUCGUUAAGGUCCCCUAAAGACGAUAGGGUAGAUAGGCCAGACCUGGACGCACUGUAAGGUGUGAAGGCUACUGGUACUAAUUGACCACAACAAACACCAACACACUCUAUGUG
rnacentral:rRNA from 1 species